GACGAACGCUGGCGGCGUGCUUAACACAUGCAAGUCGAGCGGAAAGGCUCCUUCGGGAGUACUCGAGCGGCGAACGGGUGAGUAACACGUGAGUAAUCUGCCCCUCACUUCGGGACAACCGCCGGAAACGGCGGCUAAUACCGGAUACGACCGAUCCUCGCAUGAGGUGUUGGUGGAAAGUUUUUCGGUGGGGGAUGUGCUCGCGGCCUAUCAGCUUGUUGGUGAGGUAACGGCUCACCAAGGCUUCGACGGGUAGCCGGCCUGAGAGGGUGACCGGCCACACUGGGACUGAGACACGGCCCAGACUCCUACGGGAGGCAGCAGUGGGGAAUAUUGGACAAUGGGCGAAAGCCUGAUCCAGCAACGCCGCGUGAGGGAUGACGGCCUUCGGGUUGUAAACCUCUUUCAGUACCGACGAAGCGCCCUUUCGGGUGGUGACGGUAGGUACAGAAGAAGGACCGGCCAACUACGUGCCAGCCGCCGCCGUAACAC
rnacentral:rRNA from 1 species